rnacentral:rRNA from 1 species
GACGAACGCUGGCGGCGUGCUUAACACAUGCACGUCGAACGAAGUGGCGAACGGGUGAGUAACGCGUAAUCAACCUGCCCUUCAGAGGGAGACAACAGUUGGAAACGACUGCUAAUACCGCAUACUGAAGAAGGUGAUUGAGUGUGAUUAGCUAGUUGGAGGGGGAACGGCCCACCAAGGCGAUGAUCAGUAGCCGGUCUGAGAGGAUGAACGGCAACAUUGGGACUGAGACACGGCCCAGACUCCUACGGGAGGCAGCAGUGGGGAAUCUUCCGAAAUGGACGAAAGUCUGACGGAGCAACGCCGCGUGAGUGAUGACGGCCUUCGGGUUGUAAAGCUCUGUUAAUCGGGACGCGGUACCGGAAUAGAAAGCCACGGCUAACUACGUGCCAGCCGCCGCGGUAAUUC